GACGAACGCUGGCGGCGUGCUUAACACAUGCAAGUCGAACGGUGAAGCGCCUUCCUUUUUGGUGGGUGUGGAUGAGUGGCGAACGGGUGAGUAACACGUGAGUAACCUGCCCCCUUCUUCUGGAUAACCGCAUGAAAGUGUGGCUAAUACGGGAUAUUCUGGGUCUGUCGCAUGAUGGGUCUGGGAAAGAUAUUGUUUCGGUGGGGGAGGGGCCCGCGGCCUAUCAGCUUGUUGGUGGGGUGAUGGCCUACCAAGGCGGUGACGGGUAGCCGGCCUGAGAGGGUGGACGGUCACACUGGGACGGAGAGACGGCCAAGACUCCUACGGGAGGCAGCAGCGGGGAAUAGUGCACGAUGGGCGCAAGGCUGAUGCAGCGACGCCGCGUGAGGGAUGGAGGCCUGCGGGUUGUGAACCUCUUUCGGCAGUGAAGCAGGCCUGCCUCGUUUGUGGGUGGGUUGACGGUAGCUGGAUAAGAAGCGCCGGCUAACUACGUG
rnacentral:rRNA from 1 species